CAGCCGCCACGGGAACACGUAGGGUGCAAGCGUUAAUCGGAAUUACUGGGCGUAAAGCGUGCGCAGGCGGUUUGUUAAGACAGAUGUGAAAUCCCCGGGCUCAACCUGGGAACUGCAUUUGUGACUGGCAAGCUAGAGUGUGGCAGAGGGGGGUGGAAUUCCGCGUGUAGCAGUGAAAUGCGUAGAUAUGCGGAGGAACACCGAUGGCGAAGGCAGCCCCCUGGGCCAACACUGACGCUCAUGCACGAAAGCGUGGGGAGCAAACAGGAUUAGAUACCCCCGUAGUCCCUGUCUCUUAUAC
rnacentral:rRNA from 1 species